CGUGCGCCAAGCCUUGAUUUGCCCGAUUUUUAUUUUAUUUGCGGGAAAGGGUGAUACAGGUUUUAUGCAGGGAAAGAUGACGACGCUCAUGGCAGUUGAGGGAGAAUUUUGCCUAAUUUUUGGCAAUUGAUUUUGCUUCUCCUAUCAUAUCACUGGGUUCCUAAGUCACCAAUGUAGUGGGAAAUGAUGAGUUCUAUCCUUUGCUGUGAUGACGAGUGGGAAUUUGAGGUCGUAACCUCAAUGUACCUCUUUUAUUAGGAAGAAACUACAUGUAUAUUCCCUAUUUUUCUAAUUUCGUCGACUCGAGUCGAGAAGUAGACGAAUUGCAGCUGCCAGAAGCCGCGGACACGAGGCAGUCAUUAGAAACCUCAGUAUGUCCGUGGCAAGCUAGUCGUGUGACAUUGAAGCGCAUCGCUGGGCGGAAAGAGCAUCAUGCAAGGGCCUGUUGCGUGUUGCACCCUCUCCGUAGCAACAGGAUACCACGUUUUUUCACAUUCGGGUAUACAACUUCAAUGUGCUCUGCCAACACUUCCAUUAUCUGGCUGAGAAGCCAUUUUGCUGGUUUGUGUGAGCCUGUGGCAGCGUGGUGCAUGAAGUGCAGUGUGACCAACAAAACUGCACUCUUUGAGAGCAGUUGCUCUCCAGCAAGCACGAGUGUUGCUGCUAGAGCCGUGUGUAUGCCCCGCUGUGCUAUAACAAUGGCAUUCAAUUGGUAAUCUGUGCUUGCGUAGCCGUCUACUGUAACCAAGGCCAGGUGUGCAUUGUAGCACUUGGUACAGUAGACGGCGUCCUCUGAAACAGUGAUGCCCUCAUCCUUCAGCUUUGCUGCCACAACCUGGUAAUUUGCAGCCUUCCGCAAUGGCUCUAGCUCCAUUGGCGCAUGGCAAUCGCCA